UACCUGUGAUGAAAAGAUUCUGCCAAAUGAUCUCUCAUGAUUAUACUCCUACCGUUCCAUUUUCUUCUGAGGCU
ensembl:snoRNA